AUGGGGGCGAUUAAGAUGUUGAUGUUUGAGGAAUCUCAUGGCGUGCUUGUGUGGAGGUUGCCAAAACUCAUGCUCACCAUUCUGGUUCAAACUGUCCUAUGGGCAGCUACUUGGAAACCAAGACCGAGGCCUCUCAUUCUCCUAUACGAUGUGAAGUGCGAUCCUAGAUGGACGGCCAUUGAUCUUUUUCUCACGUGGAUGUUCCAUUCUGAUCUCUCGUCUGUCCCCUGUCCACUCCAUAAUGGUGCUGAGGUUAUGUUCUACAAAUCACACUUGUUAAGGAGCACAAGAACCAGUUGA
rnacentral:rRNA from 1 species